rnacentral:rRNA from 1 species
UACGAAGGGGGCUAGCGUUGCUCGGAAUCACUGGGCGUAAAGGGCGCGUAGGCGGCUUAUCAAGUCGGGGGUGAAAGCCCGUGGCUCAACCACGGAAUGGCCUUCGAUACUGGUAGGCUUGAGACCGGAAGAGGACAGCGGAACUGCGAGUGUAGAGGUGAAAUUCGUAGAUAUUCGCAAAGAACACCAGUGGCGAAGGCGGCUGUCUGGUCCGGUUCUGACGCUGAGGCGCGAAAGCGUGGGGAGCAAACAGG